UUUAUUUGCAUCAAUUGAUGACUCUAUACUAAUUCAUAGCCAAAAUUCAAAAUAUUAAUGAAUACUUGUUUCUUUCUAUAACACUCUGUUGUUCGGCUCGAAAUAGUUGUUUCAUUAUCGGGUUACAAAUACGUAGCAAUUGUAUAAUUCGUUGUCGAUAAUAUUCCAAAGAUUUCUCUUCACCAUGCCACAUCCAUUGUAGUGUUUCAUCGCAAGUAUUUUGCACCAGUUUGAUUUCGUUGGCAGCAAGAUUAUGGCCGAAAUGUUGUAUUGUGUGAUAAAUUAUGAAAAUAUAUCGAUGCAGGCAUUGUCGAGCGGUUUUCAUCUUUUCGCGAUCAUUCAUUUUGUCAGUUGCCUGGUUUUCAAGGAGUUCCGAAUACUGUUUACUAAAUGAUUCAAUUCGAUUCCGUAGGUUUUUCAUUGAAGCGGAUUUAGAUGACAUGAUUUUUUUCACACUUAUUCACUUUGUACUUGGAAAAUUUAUUUGAUCAUCCAGCAGCGGUACGCUUUUCGCCAGAAGAACAUACGAAAUUUCAGAAUUUUUUCCAAUAUUAUCAUCGAAAUAAACGAAAUUCACACGUGUCGCACUUAAUAAAUUCCACUAGACUGAAUUCACUAAAAUAUUUAACAAACGUACGGUAUAACGUUAUACCGCACACGCCGUUUCAAUGUCUUAAAAUGACUCGUUUCAAUGCUAGCGUUCGCUAUAUGACUGAACUGUCAGUGACUUAAAUAAACCAGUUUCGCUGAUACAACAUUCAUUUUAUAAGCGUAAAUUCAGAGCGAGUCUGUUCACACAAUGGGGUUAAUAUAUACUUGAACAUUUUUGUACUGUACAUUUCAAAAGCGUUAUGAAGAUUACCGAGAAAACCCAGAACGUUUGGAAAAUUCUUGUUCCAUCUGAAAAAAAUUUGCUGAAAUUUGAUAGAAAAUACCCAAAAACUCUUCCGAAUCUACUCUUCUUACCGAUCAGCAUUGAUUUUAUUUUCCGUAUUUGUAUUAUGUUAUGUACUGUUUUAGUGAAGUUACACACACCGGUAUUUCGCAUUUGAUUAUUGAAUUCAAGCAAUACAAAUUUAUUUUUAUGACGCAGUAAAUGACAUUUUGACUUGAUUUGUUCUUCGUUCACUGCGAAACCAUCCGAAGUAAUUGUCAGUGUGUGUAUAUUUUUCUCAAAUUUAUUCACUUCAAAGGGUGCUACCAAAGAAAAUGUAAGUAAAGCGCUUGCAGCAAAAAAAUAUUUCAAUGAAUUGUUGGGUUUGAUUUCGAGAAUUUUACUGGCAUGCACAAGUACUUAAAGAAUACUUGCUGCAAGCGAUUUACGAUGCGAGUAAAACACCCAAAUACAUAGUUUUAACCCUCCAUUCCACGCCAUUAAAACGCACACGUGGUUGGUGUCUGGCUGGACCCCUAUACAUUUACAUGCAUUUGUAUGGGAAUAAGUGAUACAUGCCAUCUUAUUUUUCGCCGAUAAUAAUAAGAGAUAGCAAGUGAUAUGUAUCUUUAGCAAAGCUGUGGAGCAGGUCAAGUACUACAAUUUUGGUGAAGAUAUUAUCUCCUGGUCUCUUAUCAAUUCCGCGAAAAACUAUAAGAAAAUAUCCCGUUUCUUCGCGUAACUGAUCAGAGAUAAUGGCUUGAUGUCUUCGGUAAAGUUGUAAUAUUCGAGGUCUUCUACAACAUUGCUGGGGACUGAUAUCUCUUAUCUCUCAUCAGUUACGCGAAAUUAUGUUGCGGAUUUUCUUAUCAGAUGAAAAUAUAGUCAAAAACCAUAAUAAAAAUCGGGUUGAUAUGUAUUACACUGAAUGCUUAAUUCUGCAAGUGUCGUGAAAUCGGAUCGGAUCGAAUUGUGAACUUUAUAAGAUUAUUUCUGAAAAUUCGUCGGGUGGAUCUGGACUGAUGAAAAAAAUCUGUUUUAUCAAUCCUGGGUACAGACGUGUAUUCGCAACGUAACACAAGACAAAUAAUAAUUUAUCAAUCAAAUUUGUUUCAUCUGAAUCGAAUCAUCUCGACGCAUCUUCUUAUUAAUUUCGGUCUCUGUUUAUGGUUUGCAGCGGCCGAUGAAUCGUGGGUAUAAGCAAACUUCACGGAUAUGAUAACGUUUUAGAAGCCAGCACAGGAAGCGUUCUAAGCCCAAUCCAUAUCUAAAAAACAAUACUCUUUGAUCAGUGUUUCUUAGUAGUGUACUGGCGAAUCAGCAUUGACAUACCCGCCAUGUGGUUGACCUCCAAAAAGUCUUUGAUCAGUGUACCAAUAAUAUGGAGUUGGAUCGAUGCCCUCUCGUUUGUAGCCUGUAGUACCAAUGUCAAAUAAAAUCAAAUAAAUACAUAUUAUGAAAAUCGUGUGAAAGAU